GAUGAACGCUGGCGGCGUGCUUAAUACAUGCAAGUCGAGCGAACGGACGAGAAGCUUGCUUUUCUGAUGUUAGCGGCGGACGGGUGAGUAACACGUGGAUAACCUACCUAUAAGACUGGGAUAACUUCGGGAAACCGGAUCUAAUACCGGAUAAUAUUUUGAACCGCAUGGUGCAAAAGUGAAAGACGGUCUUUCUGUCACUUAUAGAUGGAUCCGCGCUGCAUUGUCUGGUUGGUAAGGUAACGGCUUUGCAAGGCAACGAUGCACAUCCGACCUGAGCGGGUGAUCGGCCACAUGGGAACUGGACCAGGGUCCAGAGUACUGAGAGAGGGCGCAGAAGGGAACGGUCGGCAGUAGGGGAAAGUAUGACAGAGCAGGGCGACGUGAGUUGUAGAGGUGCUCGGAGCGGAAAACUGUGUUAUGGGGGAAAAACAUAUGUGUAAGUAGAUGAAGAGAUCGUGACGGUACCUAAUCAAGAAGCCACGGCUAACUACGUG
rnacentral:rRNA from 1 species